GAAGGAAGGAAGAGAACCUGCCUUCCUACAGAAUAAGACUAGACACCUACUCACAGUAGCGGUAAAUUGUCCGGAUGACCAAUAAUGCAACGCUCAUGAAGGAAAGGAAGGAGGCCCUUCAUGAAAUCCCCAAGCCCUGACACACACACCCCAUAGCCCUGAUACCCCUUUUCCAUAGCCACCCUGGGAUCUGGAAUGAACUCCCUCUUGUUGUUAGAGCUUCACCAUUUCUAACACCCUUUAAAUGAGCUCUCAAGACACACUUGUUUAACCAAGUCUUUGAUCAACUGUGGGUGAUCAAAGCAAGCCCUCAGGUUCCUUCCAGGCCACACCACACUGGUUUUGAAGCUCUCCAAUUACAGCAGAGUAUGACACAGAGUGGAAUAGCUACUUUCAGGAAAUUCAAAAGCCCAGUUGGAUACUCAAAGCUAUUUCUCACUAUUCUCUGGAGCGCAGCCACCAAAUAUCAAAGUGAUUCUAUGGAACUCCUUGUUGGUAUUUGGCUCAGCAUGUAAUGUGUGAAUAAAGAUUGGCAUUUCCUAUUUCUGUU